UACGGAGGGUGCGAGCGUUAAUCGGAAUUACUGGGCGUAAAGCGCGCGUAGGCGGUUUGAUAAGUCGGGUGUGAAAGCCCCGGGCUUAACCUGGGAAUUGCAUUCGAUACUGUCUGACUCGAGUCUGGGAGAGGGAAGCGGAAUUCCGGGUGUAGCGGUGAAAUGCGUAGAUAUCCGGAGGAACAUCAGUGGCGAAGGCGGCUUCCUGGCCUAAGACUGACGCUGAGACGCGAAAGCGUGGGGAGCAAACAGG
rnacentral:rRNA from 1 species